rnacentral:rRNA from 1 species
CGACGAUCUGUAGCUGGUCUGAGAGAACGACCAGCCACACUGGGACUGAGACACGGCCCAGACUCCUACGGGAGGCAGCAGUGGGGAAUUUUGGACAAUGGGCGAAAGCCUGAUCCAGCCAUGCCGCGUGAGUGAAGAAGGCCUUCGGGUUGUAAAGCUCUUUCGGCCGGGACGAAAUGGCGCGGGGUAAUAUCCCGCGUCGAUGACGGUACCGGAAGAAGAAGGACCGGCUAACUACGUGCCAGCAGCCGCGGUAAUACGUAGGGUCCAAGCGUUAAUCGGAAUUACUGGGCGUAAAGCGUGUGUAGGCGGUUUCGAAAGUCCGAUGUGAAAUCCCCGAGCUUAACUUGGGAACUGCCGUUUG